rnacentral:lncRNA from 8 species
GGGCAUCCCAAGUUGACCCCAUCCGGAGACUUCUUCCUGGGCUGAAUACAAUGGAGACUGUUUGACAGUGAAAGUGGAGGUUUACUGUACAGUAGCUCAGCUGGAUUUCCUCACCCCUUCAUGACAUGCAGUGAGCCGAUGCCACCAGCAGUCGCCUCAUAUUUCCUGUCUGUCUCCAUCUCCCUCCCUUCCCUUGUGUGUGUUCUCUCUAGAUCUGCUUCUCGCCUUAGAGCAGUGAUGGGCUUUUCCCAUGCAGCUGGUUCUAAAUGGAGGCCCUGCUCCAGAAAGCUGAUGUUAAUGUUGACUGGGAUCACCGACUCUCCUCCGAGGCACAGAGUGGUGAGAAAUGACUGUGCUACCUCCAGCCGGCCUGGCCGAAUAACUUGUCAUAUAUGGAUCCAGAGGCCUGAAUGGGGGGGGAAAAGCGUACUGUUUGGGUGUAGAGGAAGGGGAGGGGGGAGGGGGGAGGGGGGAGGAGUAGGGGGUUUUAUGAUAGGAUGUGUAUGAGUGUAUACUGAUGUCUUAAGAAAUGAAGAUGGAUGAUAGCAGGUCAUGAAGGAUGAUGAAGGAGGGUUUGUACAUUUGGGAGACAUCCAUGCCUGACAGGACAGUGUGUUAACGAAACAGGGAAAGUGGGCCUGUUGCUCCCACAAGUAUUGGUUUGUCCGUCUUGCUGUCAACAGCAUUGACAGUCAGCCUGCUCUGCCGUGCCAACCUCCCUUAACCUCACAACCCUGUCUGACAGCCCUUGAGAUGUGCUCUGUUCUGAGAAAGAGAGGUGUGUGUGUGUGUGUCCAGACGGUGCGGUUAGCCUCAUUUACAUCAGAGGAUUGGUCAUGACAGUGACCCUCGCUGACGAACGUAAGCAGACCGAGAUUCCCCCGUCUGUUUUCUUCACGUUCUGCCAUCAGUCCCUGGCUCAGAGUCUGUAAAGCAGCCAUCCAUGCCUCAGCCUCGGUGACAGCACAGGGAAAAGCACGUCAUCAUUCCACACACCGUCCCCUCACAUUCCCCGGGAUGCGUAUCCUGCCAGCCUUGCUAUGAUCUCCACAAACCAGACCAGGCAUCCAUUCUACAUUGAACGGAGGUGGGGGCUGGUUCCAUCCUGAUUGGGUGACGUUCUAGUGUCCGUGUUAUUUGUGACUGUUGGAAGGCCAUGGUGUGCGAGACCCAGAUACGCAUAGCGACUCAUUCCCCAGUGCUUAGAGCCAGGAAAGCCCCAUCCGUCAUGCAAAGAUCACCCUUGUCCUGUCUCUUUGAAGUGAUGGUUGGAUUUGGUGAGGCAGGACACAGUGCCUCCGGUGUAAAAAGGUUCUACUACCGUGGGGCAACUCUUUCAAAAACACAGCAACGUUCCAUAUGUAUGUAUGAGACCAGGUGUAUAGCCAGGAACCCAGCCAAGUCAAUCAACUUCCAAUUCAUCUGUGCUUGGGAGUAAUCCAGUAUGUAAGUGGCUUUUUAAUCUUUUCUUAGGAAGGUGUGGUAACCCUUGCUCUCACAUAAACCCACAGGGGAGCAACAUUAAUCAAAAGAACACAGAAUGGAUUUGAUGGAUAAGGUUGAUGAUUUAAACUUCCCCUUAAUUAUGACAUUUUUAUUAAUUUCAUCUGUGGGUUUAAAUCAGUGGAACGUCCGUUCCAACGAUGCCCAGCCAUCUAAAUUGCAUGCAGAACUCAAAAACUGGAGAUUUAUCGACUUCCUCCACUGGCCUGCAUUAAUUAUUUAUUAGUCAAUGUCUCUCACACAAACCCCAGCAGCUCUUUAAUCCACACUGAUAUUAGCCUGCCUGACUGUAUAUUGGUGGACUGAGAGACAUAUAAAAACCAAACUGCUGCGACAACAUCUCUCUCUCUCUCUCUCUCUCUCUCUCUCCCUCUCUCUCUCUCUUUGUCUUCAGUUUAUCAUGCAACUUUGAAAAACUUGGAUUACUUUUUAUCUCAGUGCUUUGCCCGGUUGACCCAAUGAGGUGUUGUGCAGGCAGUGUCUGCCAGAAUGAUGAGGUACAUGGUCUUAGAUUGUCCUUUGAAUUACCUGUUUCUGUGAAUGUAAGAUUGGGAAGGAGAAAGAGAGGCUGGCAGACUGGGGAGAUUAGGAGGGGCUGAUUCCCAGAGUAAAGGCUGUCAAUUUGUUCACUGUGAGGAGAUGUGAUUGAGCAUGUCUGCUGGCUACUUGGACCACAGCCCCGCGUCUCCCCAGUGCAGGGAUUGAUUGAGUCGUACCUGCCUAGGGUUCCGUUGGCCUUGCGCCCGUCCACGGGCCACGUUCCCUCUCCCUGCCCAGUCUGUCAGCCCCUGAAGUUAUGACAUCAUGAGCCCCCUCAUAAGGCACCUCCAUUGUUUUGAAAUGAAGGGACAUCAAUUUCCCAGGCUCCACUGCCCAGCGGAUGAUUUGUGAGUGCUAUUAUCCUCCGAAAUCGCUCUGGAAAAUGGCUGCGGAAUGGAGAGAGUUUGGGAGGGGUGAUGAAAUGGUGUCUAAGACGCCUGUUUUGGCCAGUUCCAAUAGUGGUAUUUCACACUUCUGGGGUCAAAACCCCACGUACACAUACAUGUAGAUCUACUCAGAUUACAGAGUUCAUGAUUAUUCAGCUACUAUUUUUGCCCUGAAAGUGGCAUUCAGAGACAAAUAUGACUUCGUAGAUAGGACUGCCAGCUAAGAGAGUGAGAGAUGGAAAUAAAUAGUGAGACAGAGGCAAAAAAAUGACCAAUCACCGGGAUGUCAAUGGAGCAUUUCCAGAACUUUCUCUCUUGCCGUUUGCAAAAGCAGCAGACCUGGGUGCCAUCCAGUUGACAGACAAGGUUUUCAUGUCAAGGCUUGACUAAUUCAUUAGAAAGCCAUCUGAGUCCCAGAACGUUUCAUUGUUAGAACCUGAGUCUGAGAAAUAAACUGCUGAGUAUUCGAAACACGCCUUCCAAACUUGAUCACAAUGGAUAGGUAAUGCAUUAUGCAUUCCGAUUUCAUUAUGAAUUCUUUUUUUUUUUGUACGGAAAGCGUGUGUGAAAUUGUUUUUAUUUCCUUAAAGAG